ACAACUCUCGGCAACGGAUAUCUCGGCUCUCGCAUCGAUGAAGAACGUAGCGAAAUGCGAUACUUGGUGUGAAUUGCAGAAUCCCGUGAACCAUCGAGUCUUUGAACGCAAGUUGCGCCCGAAGCCGUCAGGCCAAGGGCACGUCUGCCUGGGUGUCACGCA
rnacentral:rRNA from 2 species